rnacentral:lncRNA from 1 species
CAUUAUUCCUGACGCUCCACUGACUGAUGAAGAUAAAGCAGAAAUGGAGGAGAUCCAGAAGAUCUUGAGCUCCAGAAUCAACAAACACAUCAUGAUCCUCAUCAUGCAGAAUUCAGAUCAUCAGACAGCAGAACUCAAUGAAGAAACACAGACUGUCAUUCAGAGUUUUGGAGGAAGACAUCGUUACUUUAAUCCUGAAACACAAGUGUCCACAUUGAUGGAGAACAUUGAGAAGAUGCUGGAGGAAAACAGAGGAGGCUUUUACUCCACAGAGACAUUUCUGGAGGUGCAGAUGGAAAAACUGAUGAAAUAUGAAGAGAAGAAGAAAACUAAUUCAUUGGACAUACACUUACUACCAAAAGGUUCAGCUGAGAGUGAAAAAGAACUGAGGAUUGUUCUUCUGGGAAAAACUGGAGUUGGUAAAAGUGCAACAGGAAACACAAUAUUAAGAAGAGACGCAUUUAAAGCAGAAGAAUCAUUUGAGUCAGUGUCCAGUGAGAGUGAAGGAAAGUCAACUAAAAUCAAUGGCAGACGCAUCACUGUGAUCGACACUCCAGGACUGUUUGAUACUGAACUCAGUAAUGAGGAGAUCAAGAGAGAAAUCAGACACUGCAUCUCCAUGAUUCUGCCUGGACCACAUGUGUUUCUCCUGCUGAUUCCACUGGGACAAAGAU